GAUGAACGCUGGCGGCGUGCCUAAUACAUGCAAGUCGAGCGAACGGACGAGGAGCUUGCUCCUCUGACGUUAGCGGCGGACGGGUGAGUAACACGUGGAUAACCUACCUAUAAGACUGGGAUAACUUCGGGAAACCGGAGCUAAUACCGGAUAAUAUUUUGAACCGCAUGGUUCAAUAGUGAAAGACGGUCUUGCUGUCACUUAUAGAUGGAUCCGCGCUGCAUUAGCUAGUUGGUAAGGUAACGGCUUACCAAGGCAACGAUGCAUAGCCGACCUGAGAGGGGAACGGGCAACCCUGGAACUGGGACACGGUCCAGACUCCAAGGGGAGGCAGAGGAAGGGAAUUUUCGGCAAUGGGCGAAAGCCUGACGGAGCAACGCGGGGUGAGUGAUGAAGGUCUUCGGAUCGUAAAACUCUGUUAUUAGGGAAGAACAUAUGUGUAAGUACUGUGCACAUCUUGACGGUACCUAAUCAGAAAGCCACGGCUAACUACGUG
rnacentral:rRNA from 1 species